ensembl:antisense Gm12224 predicted gene 12224
GGGCUUUGUUUCUUUCUCCUUUGCAGAAAGGCCACUGGGCUGAUAGUGUCCUCUUAGCAAGUAAGCUUGCCUGCAGCUGCUAAGACAGCAGUGCCCAUAAAAGUAAAAAUAAGCAUCACCAUGUCAUCCAGAAUGGCUUUCUUCAAUUCCUGAAUUGAACCAUGUCCAGUAGUUGAGUUCCUCUGCAUCGACCAGCUUGAUGUGGUUGCAGGGCAGAGGUGCCCCUACAUGCCCUAGGACACCAGAACAAGAGUGAAAGGCUUGGGCCUCUGGCAUCUUCCUCUGUACCCGGCUGCCCAGCACACGUCCCACCACCCCCAAGGAAGGCCCGGGAUGAUGAUACCUGGCACCCCAGAGCUGCUCGUAGGAAUCCCAGAACCGUUGGUGACGCGGGGGCUGCUCCAGUGACAAUCAUCCUCACAUGCCCACCAAGACUGGCCUGUGGGAAGAAAGAAGCUGCCAAUGAUGGUGACACAUGAGAUGGUCUUCAUUUAUGGUCUGCUUUCAACAGCUGGACCCUGGGUGCUGGAAGAGAGCCACGUGCUGAGGAAGUCACUUCUCUUUUGU